AGCGAACGCUGGCGGCAGGCCUAACACAUGCAAGUCGAACGAAGUCUUCGGACUUAGUGGCGGACGGGUGAGUAACACGUGGGAACGUGCCUUUAGGUUCGGAAUAACUCAGGGAAACUUGUGCUAAUACCGAAUGUGCCCUUCGGGGGAAAGAUUUAUUGCCUUUAGAGCGGCCCGCGUCUGAUUAGCUAGUUGGUUAGGUAAUGGCUCACCAAGGCUACGAUCAGUAGCUGGUCUGAGAGGAUGACCAGCCACAUUGGGACUGAGACACGGCCCAAACUCCUACGGGAGGCAGCAGUGGGGAAUCUUGCGCAAUGGGCGAAAGCCUGACGCAGCAAUGCCGCGUGGAUGAUGAAGGUCUUAGGAUUGUAAAAUCCUUUCACCGGUGAAGAUAAUGACUGUAGCCGGAGAAGAAGCCCCGGCUAACUUCGUGCCAGCCGCCGCUGUAACAC
rnacentral:rRNA from 1 species